rnacentral:rRNA from 1 species
AGUCGAGCGGACAGAAGGGAGCUUGCUCCCGGAUGUUAGCGGCGGACGGUGUGAGUAACACGUGGGUAACCUGCCUGUAAGACUGGGAUAACUCCGGGAAACCGGAGCUAAUACCGGAUAGUUCCUUGAACCGCAUGGUUCAAGGAUGAAAGACGGUUUCGGCUGUCACUUACAGAUGGACCCGCGGCGCAUUAGCUAGUUGGUGGGGUAAUGGCUCACCAAGGCGACGAUGCGUAGCCGACCUGAGAGGGUGAUCGGCCACACUGGGACUGAGACACGGCCCAGACUCCUACGGGAGGCAGCAGUAGGGAAUCUUCCGCAAUGGACGAAAGUCUGACGGAGCAACGCCGCGUGAGUGAUGAAGGUUUUCGGAUCGUAAAGCUCUGUUGUUAGGGAAGAACAAGUGCGAGAGUAACUGCUCGCACCUUGACGGUACCUAACCAGAAAGCCACGGCUAACUACGUGCCAGCAGCCGCGGUAAUACGUAGGUGGCAAGCGUUGUCCGGAAUUAUUGGGCGUAAAGGGCUCGCAGGCGGUUUCUUAAGUCUGAUGUGAAAGCCCCCGGCUCAACCGGGGAGGGUCAUUGGAAACUGGGAAACUUGAGUGCAGAAGAGGAGAGUGGAAUUCCACGUGUAGCGGUGAAAUGCGUAGAGAUGUGGAGGAACACCAGUGGCGAAGGCGACUCUCUGGUCUGUAACUGACGCUGAGGAGCGAAAGCGUGGGGAGCGAACAGGAUUAGAUACCCUGGUAGUCCACGCCGUAAACGAUGAGUGCUAAGUGUUAGGGGGUUUCCGCCCCUUAGUGCUGCAGCUAACGCAUUAAGCACUCCGCCUGGGGAGUACGGUCGCAAGACUGAAACUCAAAGGAAUUGACGGGGGCCCGCACAAGCGGUGGAGCAUGUGGUUUAAUUCGAAGCAACGCGAAGAACCUUACCAGGUCUUGACAUCCUCUGACAACCCUAGAGAUAGGGCUUUCCCUUCGGGGACAGAGUGACAGGUGGUGCAUGGUUGUCGUCAGCUCGUGUCGUGAGAUGUUGGGUUAAGUCCCGCAACGAGCGCAACCCUUGAUCUUAGUUGCCAGCAUUUCAGUUGGGCACUCUAAGGUGACUGCCGGUGACAAACCGGAGGAAGGUGGGGAUGACGUCAAAUCAUCAUGCCCCUUAUGACCUGGGCUACACACGUGCUACAAUGGACAGAACAAAGGGCUGCAAGACCGCAAGGUUUAUCCAAUCCCAUAAAUCUGUUCUCAGUUCGGAUCGCAGUCUGCAACUCGACUGCGUGAAGCUGGAAUCGCUAGUAAUCGCGGAUCACAUGCCGCGGUGAAUACGUUCCCGGGCCUUGUACACACCGCCCGUCACACCACGAGAGUUUGCAACACCCGAAGUCGGUGAGGUAACCUUUAGUGGAGCCAGCCGCCGAAGGUGGGGCAGAUGAUUGGGGUGAAGU